AGAUAAUAAUUGAAUAAUUUAACGAUUUCCCUUUCAUAUUUGAUAUUGAUUAGCUCACCAAUCAAUACGUAAUGGAACUCGCUUCGCUUUUCUGAUUGAUAGAUAAAAUAAUAGAAUUAGGAAAUCCUCUAUUUACUGAAUAAUAACUUUUUUGUUGACAAAAGAGUAAACAUCAUUUCUAUUCCAAGGUGGGGAGUUUCAUUUUCCCCAUCGACCUA
rnacentral:misc_RNA from 2 species